rnacentral:tRNA from 2 species
GGUUCCAUGGUUCAAUGGAUAGAACGUGAGCCUCCGAAGCUCAAGAUCCAGGUUCGAUUCCCGGUGGGACCA